GCUCACGCAUCGCUCGGCGCCCGCCCCACGUCCCCGAGGCGACGACCGGCACAACGCGCCCUCGCGGCGCUACCCGACACCUGCGACGAAACGCGCCAAGUUCAGGAGCGCGUCGACACAGGGGCUCGGGAACACGGUGUCGCCAUCGCGGAACCCUAGCGAGAUCGUCGGGAAGGUCCGAAGCCAAUGGGCAUGGUUUUGCCUGGUGUGGUUGGAUUCAAGUUGAGUGGGAAGUUAUAGGAUGGUGUCACUACUACUGACAUUGUUCUUACUAUGACCCAAAUGCUAAGGAAGCACGGUGCUAUUGGCAAAUUCGUUGAAUUCUAUGGUGUUGGUGUGGGCGAGCUAUCUUUGCCUGCUAGGGCCACAAUUGCCAACAUGUCUCCAGAAUAUGGAGCUACCAUGGGCUUCUUCCCUGUAGACAAGUAGCAUUGGACUAUCUCAAAUUGACAGGCCGAAGCGAUGAAACUGUGUCGAUGAUUGAAGCAUACCUGCGAGCUAACAAAAUGUUUGUGGACAAGCAUGAGCCUGAGACGGAACGAGUUUUCUCUUCAUAUCUGGAGCUGGACCUUAGUGAGGUGGAGCCUUGCGUUUCAGGCCCCAAAAGGCCUCAUGAUCGUGUCCCUUUGAAGGAAAUGAAGUCAGACUGGCAUGCUUGCCUGGACAACGAAGUUGGUUUCAAGGGCUAUGCGGUGCCAAAGGAACAGCAAGGCAAAGUUGUGAAAUUCAACUUCCAUGGAAGGCCAGCUGAAAUCAAGCAUGGCAGUGUUGUUCUUGCAGCAAUAUGCAGCUCCACAAACACAUCAAAUCCCAGCUUCAUGAUUGGUGCUGGUCUUGUGGAAGAAAGCAUGCGAAUUGGGCCUUGAGGUGAAGCCAUGGGUAAAGACAAGCCUUACCCCUGGAUCUGUGGUUGCUACUGAGUACUUGAAACAUAGUGGCCUUCAAGAUUAUCUGAACCAGCAAGGGUUCCAUGUCGCUGCGCAUGGCUGCGCCACUUGUGUGGGCAACUCUGGUGACCUGGAUGGAUCUGUAUCCGCUGCUAUCAUAGAAAAUGGUACGGCAUUAUCGAUGUUUUUUGUAGCUGCGCACAUAACAAGUUUUUUUUGAAUUGAUUAUUUGGUAGCUUAUGGUCUACUCUUGCACAUACAGAUAUCAUUGCUGCUGCGGUGCUGUAUCCUACUACCUGCUCAACCUUGGGGACAGCAUCACCACGGACCACAUCUCCUACUCGGGGAAGAUCCCCGAGGGCACACCUGCGGCCAAGUAUCUGCUCGAGUAUGGCGUGGAGCCCAAGAACUUCAGCUCCUAUGGUGGCCGCCGCGGGAACAAUGAGGUGGUGAUGAGGGGAGCGUUUGCCAAUAUGAGGAUCGUGAAUAAGCUUCUUAAUGGCGAGGCUGGUCCCUGGACAAUCCAUGUUCCUACCGGGGAGAAGCUCUACGUUUACGAUGCGGCAAUGAAAUGGAAGGAGAUGCUGUCAGUUUUACCCAAUUAUCGAGUGAAGGAGUAUAUGAAGAAACUUUACAAGACAUCUGUACAACCCUAGAUGAGUUGCAGUAGAUUCCACCCAUUAAGGACAAAUGGACAAUAAUCCAUCAUCGAAGCCAAAUCAUAAGCUAAAAGGUUGAGAAGAUGGUGCUUCUGGCAUGUGGAUGGCGCUAUACGAUUACUGUUCGUGACUCAAGUAAUCUAUACACUUAUGGUUGGCGCAAAUACGUUCAACUAGGACAUAUUGAUUUUGAAGAUGAUUUAGUUCCACAUAAACUAGAAGCAUUGAAAGAUAGCACUAUAUCUCAGGAAAAGAUAGAAUGGAACUCAAAUUUUGGUGGUUGCACUAGUGUGGAGACUUGAAUUCAUGUAUACACUUAGUUAGACUCAAUGUUAGUGCAAACAGUUGAUGACCAAGUUUUUUAAUUAGUAUUUUAGUUUGGAUGUAUAGUACACUUAUGUAUGAGUUAUUUGACAAUGCUUAUUUAUGAGAUAUUGAAUGGCACUUGUCUAUGUUAUAUUAAU